rnacentral:rRNA from 1 species
CGAUACGGGACUCAUCCGAGGCCCCGUAAUCGGAAUGAGUACACUUUAAAUCCUUUAACGAGUAUCCAUUGGAGGGCAAGUCUGGUGCCAGCAGCCGCGGUAAUUCCAGCUCCAAUAGCGUAUAUUAAAGUUGUUGCGGUUAAAAAGCUCGUAGUUGAAUCUGUGUGCCACGCUGUCGGUUCAUCGCUCGCGAUGUUCAACUGACCAGAUUGUGGGACGUCCUACCGGUGGGCUUAGCUCGAGCGUGUGUUACGUACGCGUGUUGGUGUUUCGGCUUUGCGGCCGUGCGCUGGCGCGCUGCGUGCGCGCGUAAGGGCGGCCCAACUUAAUCCCAUCGCUAUGCUCUUCAUCGAGUGUGGAGGUGGGCCGGUACGUUUACUUUGAACAAAUUAGAGUGCUCAAAGCAGGCUUGUUAACGCCUGAAUACCAGUGCAUGGAAUAAUGGAAUAGGACCUCGGUUCUAUUUUGUUGGUUUUCGGGACCCCGAGGUAAUGAUUAAUAGGGACAGAUGGGGGCAUUCGUAUUGCGACGUUAGAGGUGAAAUUCUUGGAUCGUCGCAAGACGGACAGAAGCGAAAGCAUUUGCCAAAAAUGUUUUCAUUAAUCAAGAACGAAAGUUAGAGGCUCGAAGGCGAUCAGAUACCGCCCUAGUUCUAACCAUAAACGAUGCCAGCUAGCGAUCCGUCGAUGUUCCUCCGAUGACUCGACGGGCAGCUUCCGGGAAACCAAAGCUUUUGGGUUCCGGGGGAAGUAUGGUUGCAAAGCUGAAACUUAAAGGAAUUGACGGAAGGGCACCACCAGGAGUGGAGCCUGCGGCUUAAUUUGACUCAACAC